rnacentral:rRNA from 1 species
AUUGAACGCUGGCGGCAGGCCUAACACAUGCAAGUCGAGCGAGCGGCGGACGGGUGAGUAAUGUAUGGGGACUGCCCGAUAGAGGGGGAUAACUACUGGAAACGGUGGCUAAUACCGCAUACUAUCGGAUAACACCUAUGGGAUUAGCUAGUAGGUAAGGUAAUGGCUUACCUAGGCGACGAUCCCUAGCUGGUCUGAGAGGAUGAUCAGCCACACUGGGACUGAGACACGGCCCAGACUCCUACGGAGGCAGCAGUGGGGAAUAUUGCACAAUGGGCGAAAGCCUGAUGCAGCCAUGCCGCGUGUAUGAAGAAGGCCCUAGGGUUGUAAAGCACUUUCAGUCGGGAGGCGUUACCGACAGAAGAAGCACCGGCUAACUCCGUGCCAGCAGCCGCGGUAAUUC